GACGAACGCUGGCGGCGUGCUUAACGCAUGCAAGUCGAACGGAAAGGCCCUGCUUUUGUGGGGUGCUCGAGUGGCGAACGGGUGAGUAACACGUGAGUAACCUGCCCUUGACUUUGGGAUAACUUCAGGAAACUGGGGCUAAUACCGGAUAGGAGCUCCUGCUGCAUGGUGGGGGUUGGAAAGUUUCGGCGGUUGGGGAUGGACUCGCGGCUUAUCAGCUUGUUGGUGGGGUAGUGGCUUACCAAGGCUUUGACGGGUAGCCGGCCUGAGGGGGUGACCGGCACCAUGGGGACUGGGAUACGGCCCAGACCACUCGGGGGGGCAGCAGGGGGGAUUUUGUCCAAAGGGGGGGAGGCCUGAGGCAGCACCCCCGGGGGCGGGAGGAGGCCCUUCGGGUUUAAACCCGCUUUCCCCUGUGACGAAGGGGGGGUGAGGGUAAGGGGGAAAGAAGCCCCGGCAACCUACGU
rnacentral:rRNA from 1 species